CGAACGCUGGCGGCGUGCUUAACACAUGCACAUCGAACGGAAAGGCCCUGCUUGCAGGGUACUCGAGUGGCGAACGGGUGAGUAACACGUGGGUGAUCUGCCCUGCACUUCGGGAUAAGCCUGGGAAACUGGGUCUAAUACCGGAUAGGAGCCAUUUUUAGUGUGAUGGUUGGAAAGUUUUUUCGGUGUAGGAUGAGCUCGCGGCCUAUCAGCUUGUUGGUGGGGUAAUGGCCUACCAAGGCGGCGACGGGUAGCCGGCCUGAGAGGGUGGACGGCCACAUUGGGACUGAGAUACGGCCCAGACUCCUACGGGAGGCAGCAGUGGGGAAUAUUGCACAAUGGGCGCAAGCCUGAUGCAGCGACGCCGCGUGGGGGAGGACGGCCUUCGGGUUGUAAACUCCUUUCGCUAGGGACGAAGCUUUUUGUGACGGUACCUAGAUAAGAAGCACCGGCUAACUACGUG
rnacentral:rRNA from 1 species